rnacentral:rRNA from 1 species
GCCAGACUCCUACGGGAGGCAGCAGUGGGGAAUAUUGGACAAUGGGGGGAACCCUGAUCCAGCGACGCCGCGUGAGUGAAGAAGUAUUUCGGUAUGUAAAGCUCUAUCAGCAGGGAAGAAAGAAAUGACGGUACCUGACUAAGAAGCCCCGGCUAACUACGUGCCAGCAGCCGCGGUAAUACGUAGGGGGCAAGCGUUAUCCGGAUUUACUGGGUGUAAAGGGAGCGUAGGCGGCGUGCCAAGUCUGAUGUGAAAUACCGGGGCUCAACCCCGGGGCUGCAUUGGAAACUGGCAGGCUGGAGUGCCGGAGAGGCAGGCGGAAUUCCUGGUGUAGCGGUGAAAUGCGUAGAUAUACGGAGGAACACCAGUGGCGAAGGCGGAUUGCUGGACAGUAACUGACGCUGAGGCGCGAAAGCGUGGGGAGCAAACAGGAUUAGAUACCCGUGUA